UACGGAGGGAGCUAGCGUUGUUCGGAAUUACUGGGCGUAAAGCGCACGUAGGCGGCUAUUCAAGUCGGGGGUGAAAGCCCGGGGCUCAACCCCGGAACUGCCCUCGAAACUAGAUAGCUAGAAUCUUGGAGAGGCGAGUGGAAUUCCGAGUGUAGAGGUGAAAUUCGUAGAUAUUCGGAAGAACACCGGUGGCGAAGGCGGUUCUCUGGGAAUAUCCUGACGCUGAGGAGCGAAAGUGUGGGGAGCGAACAGG
rnacentral:rRNA from 1 species